UUUAAAUUGAAAGUAUAUUAAUUAUUUAAUGGGGGUUAAAGUAUUUUAAUAGAAAAAAUUUAAAAUUUUAUAGUGAAUUAGUAUUGUGAAAGAAAUUUUGAAAUAAGUUAAAAAUUAAAUUAUUAAAAAGUAAUUUUAAAUUAGUGUAUCUUGUGUAUCAGAGUUUAUUAAUUAAAAUUUUUGAUAAAAAUUCUCGAAUUUAAAAGAGAUAAUUAAUUAUAAAAGUUAUUGUUGUAUAAAUAUUUUUAAUAAUUAAUUUGAAAUGAAAUGUUAAUCGUUUUUAAAUAUAUCUAGUUUUUUUAGAAAAAAAUUUAAUUUUAAAUUUAUUAUUUUAUAUAAAAUUAAUUAAUUAAUUUUAUAUAAAAUAAAUUUUAUAUUUUAAGGGAUAAGCUUUAAAUUAAAUUUAUAUAAUUAUAUUUAAAAUUUAAAUUUAAAAAUUUUAUAAUUUAUAUUGUUAAUAAAUUUUAUUUUAUUAUAAAUAAUUUUAAAUAAAAUAAAAUUUAAUUUAAUUUAUAUUUUUAUAAAAAAAUAAUUUUUAAUAAAAUAAAAUUAAUUAUAAUGAUAAAAUUAGUAUAUAAAAUAAAAAUUAAAUUAUUUUUGUUAAAAGAAUUAUUUUAAAGGAAUUCGGCAAAAAUUUAUAUUCACUUGUUUAUCAAAAACAUGUCUUUUUGAAAAUAAUAUAAAGUCUAAUCUGCCCACUGAUUAAAAAUUGAAGGGCUGCAGUAUUUUGACUGUACAAAGGUAGCAUAAUCAUUAGUCAUUUAAUUGGUGACUUGUAUGAAAGAUUGGAUGAAAUAUAAACUGUCUCUAAAAUAAAUAUAGAAUUUAAUUUUUAAAUUAAAAAGUUUAAAUAAAUUAAAAAGACGAGAAGACCCUAUAGAGUUUUAUAUUUAAAUUAAUUAUUUUUAUUUAUAAAUUUAAAUUUUAUAAUUUUUUUUAAAUAUUUUAUUGGGGUGAUAAAAAAAUAGAAAAAACUUUUUUUAAUAAUAUUAACAUAAAUAAGUGAAAAUAUGAUCCAAUAUUAUUGAUUAUAAGAUUAAAUUACCUUAGGGAUAACAGCGUAAUUUAUUUUUUUAGUUCAUAUAAAAAAAUAAGUUUGCGACCUCGAUGUUGGAUUAAGAUAAAAAUUAAAUGCAAAAGUUUAAAAUUUUGAUCUGUUCGAUCAUUAAAAUCUUACAUGAUCUGAGUUCAAACCGGUGUGAGCCAGGUUGGUUUCUAUCUUUUAAAAAUUGAAAUAUUUUAGUACGAAAGGAUCAAAUAUUUAAAUUAAAUUUAAAAAAAAAUGAAUUUUAUUAAAUAAUA
rnacentral:rRNA from 1 species